CUCAAAAUCUAUAAGUCCUUUUCAUUCAUUUCAAGUCAUUAAAAGAUGCCCUGUUGUACUCAAAUGCUUAAAGGCAUGUGUAAGAGUUAUGUAAACUAAAUGCAACUGAUCCCACAUUGAACAAUCUGGCGAAGUUUUAUGAGGUACAUGUGUAACUCAAUAAAUCCACUUUACGUCAGACAUUUUAUUCCAUAAAAUAAUUACUAGCCAAGCAGUUUCUUUAAUUAAGCCUGUGACGUUCCGGGUGCAUGAAACAAAGAUUUUGUUUUAUCAAUAAUUGCCUUUUUUUGUUGAUUUAACAGCAUAUAUUGGAAUAAGAUUGGUUGCCAACAUUCCGACACAUCUGAAUUCUUAUUUUCACGUUGGUGUGUAACGAUUGGCAGCAUCAUCUAGUGACAGCAUCAUCACCUGAAUAUUACAACUUUGAACAAGACCAUCUCGAUGAAGAAUGAAGGGAUGGCAUGGUUGUCUUCGUUUUCAUUACGAAGGGGGCGACGAAAGUGAAAUUGACACAUUCAUGUCAUGCUUGGACGAUAUAAAAAGAAAAGGUUAUCUUUUGGGAAAAGCUGUAUUAU